AGUUAAAUUUAGGUAACUCGCCUGAACGAAGCGUGUGCGUCCGCGUCGGCUGGGCUAAAUCAAAUGACAGCACUAAGUAUGUAGAACUGUCUGUAGAGGGCUUUUGGACGCGGGUUCGAUUCCCGCCGCCUCCACCA
rnacentral:tRNA from 1 species